rnacentral:rRNA from 1 species
GGGUUGUGAGGUUAAGCGACUAAGCGUACACGGUGGAUGCCCUGGCAGUCAGAGGCGAUGAAGGACGUGCUAAUCUGCGAAAAGCGUCGGUAAGGUGAUAUGAACCGUUAUAACCGGCGAUGUCCGAAUGGGGAAACCCAGUGUGAUUCGUCACACUAUCGUUAACUGAAUACAUAGGUUAACGAGGCGAACCGGGGGAACUGAAACAUCUAAGUACCCCGAGGAAAAGAAAUCAACCGAGAUUCCCCCAGUAGCGGCGAGCGAACGGGGAGCAGCCCAGAGUCUGAAUCAGCUUGUGUGUUAGUGGAACGGUCUGGAAAGUCCGACGGUACAGGGUGAUAGUCCCGUACACCAAAAUGCACAGGUUGUGAACUCGAAGAGUAGGGCGGGACACGUGGUAUCCUGUCUGAAUAUGGGGGGACCAUCCUCCAAGGCUAAAUACUCCUGACUGACCGAUAGUGAACCAGUACCGUGAGGGAAAGGCGAAAAGAACCCCGGCGAGGGGAGUGAAAAAGAACCUGAAACCGUGUACGUACAAGCAGUGGGAGCACCUUCGGGUGUGACUGCGUACCUUUUGUAUAAUGGGUCAGCGACUUAUAUUCUGUAGCAAGGUUAACCGUAUAGGGGAGCCGCAGGGAAACCGAGUCUUAACUGGGCGUUAAGUUGCAGGGUAUAGACCCGAAACCCGGU